UCCGGCUGAGGACCGAGGACCCAGGCAUGGACCAUACUUUCUGAGAAGGCAAGAAGAAAACUUUUUUUGAUUAAAAAUGGAGUAAAUCCUACGCCCUCUAUACAAGCACGGAAGUUGAGACAGACAAAAUACUAUCAAGUUGGUGGAAGCGAAAACAUUUUCUUGGGAAGUGGUAACCUUCAAGAAGAAAAUGAAAAGGCAUCAGUGAGCACAUCCACAUCCGAAAAGAAAAGGCAAUUACUGAUCUUCCUCUGGAAGAAAGAG